rnacentral:rRNA from 1 species
AGAGUUUGAUCAUGGCUCAGGAUGAACCCUGGCGGCGUGCAUAACACAUUCAAGUCGAACGGUGACGAGGACUUCGGUCCUCUGAUCAGUGGCGGACGGGUGAGUAACGCGUGAGCAACCUGCCUAUCAGAGGGGGAUAACACAGGGAAACUUGUGCUAAUACCGCAUGACACAUACAGAUCGCAUGUUUGGUAUGUCAAAGAGAAAUCGCUGAUAGAUGGGCUCGCGUCUGAUUAGAUAGUUGGCAGGGUAACGGCCUACCAAGUCUACGAUCAGUAGCCGAACUGAGAGGUUGAACGGCUACAUUGGAACUGAGAAACGGUCCAGACUCCUACGGGAGGCAGCAGUGGGGAAUAUUGGGCAAUGGGCGAAAGCCUGACCCAGCGACGCCGCGUGAGGGAAGACGGUCUUCGGAUUGUAAACCUCUUUCAGCAGGGAAGAAGAAAGUGACGGUACCUGCAGAAGAAGUCACGGCUAACUACGUGCCAGCAGCCGCGGUAAUACGUAGGUGGCGAGCGUUAUCCGGAAUUACUGGGUGUAAAGGGUGUGUAGGCGGGAUGUCAAGUCAGGUGUGAAAUUCACGGGCUCAACUUGUGAACUGCACUUGAAACUGAUAUUCUUGAGAGUGGGAGAGGUAAACGGAAUUCCUGGUGUAGUAGUGAAAUGCGUAGAUAUCAGGAGGAACACCGGUGGCGAAGGCGGUUUACUGGACCACAACUGACGCUGAGACACGAAAGCGUGGGGAGCAAACAGGAUUAGAUACCCUGGUAGUCC